rnacentral:rRNA from 1 species
GAUUAACGCUGGCGGCGUGCAUAACACAUGCAAGUCGAACGAAGUGGCGGACGGGUGAGUAACGAGUGAGUAACCUGCCUUAGAGAAGGGGAUAGCCUUUGGAAACGAAGAAUAAUACCCUAUAAUCUAAGAUGGUCUUGCGUCUGAUUAGUUAGUUGGUGAGGUAACGGCCCACAAAGACAGCGCUCAGUAGCAGGCUUGAGAGAGUGGACUGCCACAUUGGGACUGGUACACGUCCCAGACUCUACGGGAGGCAGCAGUGGGGAAUUUUGCACAAUGGGGGAAACCCUGAUGCAGCGACGCCGCGUGAUUUAGAAUGCCUUCGGGUUGUAAAAAUCUUUUCUAUGGGAAGCAGUACCAUAGGAAUAAGGACCGGCUAAUUACGUGCCAGCAGCCGCGGUAAUAC